GAUUUGAAUUUCUUUAGUUGCAUACCGACUUGUGCUAAGUCGUAAAACUGGUUCAUAAAUAUAAACGCAAACAACGCGAAUUACGCUCCUGCUUACGCUAAAGUUGCGUAAGUUUAAUUAGCUUUUGGAGCUGUUCUUAGUUAGGAUUCUAGCUACUCUCUUAAGAACAUCAUUCUAGCUAGAUGCGCUUUGUGCUACCAAACGCAAGGUUAAGAUUUAGGUUGCCUUUGUUAAAGUGUUUUUGGAAGUUCUCUUUAAUAAAGAAAGAUUUAAAAUCCCAGCAAGUAUGUAAAUCAAUUAUUGCAGAUUUGAGUUU
rnacentral:misc_RNA from 1 species